GAUGAACGCUGGCGGCGUGCCUAAUACAUGCAAGUCGAGCGAAGCGGGGACGGGUGAGUAACACGUGGAUAACCUCCUAUAAGACUGGGAUAACUCCGGGAAACCGGAGCUAAACCGGAUACUGAUGGAUGGAUCCGCGCUGCAUUAGCUAGUUGGUAAGGUAACGGCGUACCAAGGCAACGAUGCAUAGCCGGCCUGAGAGGGUGAUCGGCCGCACUGGAACGGAGACACGGUCCAUACUCCUACGCGAGGCAGCAGUAGUGAAUCUUCCGCAAUGGGCGAAAGCCUGACGGAGCGACGCCGCGUGAGUGAUGAAGGUCUUCGGAUCGUAAAACUCUGUUAUUAGGGAAGCGGUACCUAAUCAGAAAGCCACGGCUAACUACGUGCCAGCAGCCGCGGUAAUUC
rnacentral:rRNA from 1 species